rnacentral:rRNA from 1 species
GACGAACGCUGGCGGCGUGCCUAAUACAUGCAAGUCGAGCGGACCAAACAGGAGCUUGCUCUUGUUUGGUUAGCGGCGGACGGGUGAGUAACACGUGGGUAACCUGCCCGUAAGACCGGGAUAACUCCGGGAAACCGGAGCUAAUACCGGAUAACACCGAAGACCGCAUGGUCUUUGGUUGAAAGGCGGCUUCGGCUGCCACUUACGGAUGGGCCCGCGGCGCAUUAGCUAGUUGGUGAGGUAACGGCUCACCAAGGCGACGAUGCGUAGCCGGCCUGAGAGGGUGACCGGCCACACUGAGACUGAGACACGGCCCAGAAUCCUACGGGAGGCAGCAGUAGGGAAUCUUCCGCAAUGGACGAAAGUCUGACGGAGCGACGCCGCGUGAGCGAAGAAGGUCUUCGGAUCGUAAAGCUCUGUUGUUAGGGAAGAAGAAGCGCCGUUCGAACAGGGCGGCGCGGUGACGGUACCUAACGAGAAAGCCCCGGCUAACUACGUG